CAAACGGGUGCGGAACACGUACACAACCUUCCUUUAAGUGGGGAAUAGCCCAGAGAAAUUUGGAUUAAUACCCCUUAACAUUAUGAUGUGGCAUCACAUUAUAAUUAAAGCUCCGGCGCUUAAUGAUGGGUGUGCGGCUGAUUAGGUAGUUGGCGGGGUAACGGCCCACCAAGCCUUCGAUCAGUAACUGGUGUGAGAGCACGACCAGUCGCACGGGCACUGAGACACGGGCCCG
rnacentral:rRNA from 1 species